AUUGAACGCUGGCGGCAUGCCUUACACAUGCAAGUCGAACGGCAGCGCGGACUUCGGUCUGGCGGCGAGUGGCGAACGGGUGAGUAAUGUAUCGGAGCGUACCAUUCAGUGGGGGAUAACGCAGCGAAAGUUGCGCUAAUACCGCAUAUUCUGUGCGCAGGAAAGCAGGGGAUCGCAAGACCUCGCGCUGAUUGAGCGGCCGAUAUCAGAUUAGCUAGUUGGUGAGGUAAAGGCUCACCAAGGCGACGAUCUGUAGCGGGUCUGAGAGGAUGAUCCGCCACACUGGAACUGAGACACGGUCCAGACUCCUACGGGAGGCAGCAGUGGGGAAUUUUGGACAAUGGGCGCAAGCCUGAUCCAGCCAUGCCGCGUGAGUGAAGAAGGCCUUCGGGUUGUAAAGCUCUUUCGGCCGGGAAGAAAUCGUAUGGGUUAAUACCCUGUGCGGAUGACGGUACCGGCAUAAGAAGCACCGGCUAACUACGUGCCAGCAGCCGCCGUAACAC
rnacentral:rRNA from 1 species